rnacentral:rRNA from 1 species
AUUGAACGCUGGCGGCAUGCUUUACACAUGCAAGUCGAACGGUAACAGGUUAAGCUGACGAGUGGCGAGCGGGUGAGUAAUGCAUCGGAACGUGCCCGAUCGUGGGGGAUAACACUUCGAAAGAAGUGCUAAUACCGCAUACGAUCUGAGGAUGAAAGCGGGGGACCGUAAGGCCUCGCGCGAUCGGAGCGGCCGAUGUCAGAUUAGGUAGUUGGUGGGGUAAGGGCUCACCAAGCCGACGAUCUGUAGCUGGUCUGAGAGGACGACCAGCCACACUGGGACUGAGACACGGCCCAGACUCCUACGGGAGGCAGCAGUGGGGAAUUUUGGACAAUGGGCGCAAGCCUGAUCCAGCAAUGCCGCGUGCAGGAAGAAGGCCUUCGGGUUGUAAACUGUUUUUGUACGGAGCGAAAAGGCUCCCUCUAAUACAGGGGGCUCAUGACGGUACCGUAAGAAUAAGCACCGGCUAACUACGUGCCAGCAGCCGCGGUAA